GUGCUCGCUUCGGUAGCACAUAAUACAAAAAUUGGAACGAUACAGAGAUUAGCCUUGUGCCUCUGCACAAGGGUGACAUGCAAAUUCGUGAAGUAUUCCAUAUUAAA